GACGAACGCUGGCGGCGUGCCUAACACAUGUAAGUCGAACGGGACCGGAGGGGCAACUCUUCAGUUCAGUGGCAGACGGGUGCGUAACACGUGAGAAACUUGUCCAUCGGUGGGGGAUAGCCGGCCCAACGGCCGGUUAAUACCGCGUACGAUCAUUCAAGGGCAUCCUUGAAUGAUGAAAGCCUUCGGGCGCCGGCGGAGAGUCUCGCGGCCUAUCAGCUAGUUGGCGGGGUAACGGCCCACCAAGGCGACGACGGGUAGCUGGUCUGAGAGGAUGGCCAGCCACAUUGGGACUGAGACACGGCCCAGACUCCUACGGGAGGCAGCAGUGGGGAAUCUUGCGCAAUGGCCGCAAGGCUGACGCAGCGACGCCGCGUGUGGGAUGAUGGCCUUUGGGUUGUAAACCACUGUCGGGAGGAACGAAUACGCGCCUCGGGCGCGGGUGCGGUACCUCCAAAGGAAGCACCGGCUAACUCCGUGCCAGCAGCCGCGGUAAUACGGAGGGUGCGG
rnacentral:rRNA from 1 species